UACGUAGGGGGCAAGCGUUGUCCGGAAUUAUUGGGCGUAAAGCGCGCGCAGGCGGCACUUUAAGUUGGGGGUUAAAGGCAGUGGCUCAACCACUGUACGCCUCCAAAACUGGAGCGCUUGAGUGCAGGAGAGGAGAGUGGAAUUCCCGGUGUAGCGGUGGAAUGCGUAGAGAUCGGGAGGAACACCUGUGGCGAAGGCGACUCUCUGGCCUGUAACUGACGCUGAGGCGCGAAAGCGUGGGGAGCAAACAGG
rnacentral:misc_RNA from 1 species